GACGAACGCUGGCGGCGUGCCUAACACAUGCAAGUCGAGCGGGGAUCGCAGUAAUGUGAUCUUAGCGGCGGACGGGUGAGUAACGCGUGAGCAAUCUGCACUUCACUGGGGGAUAACACAGGGAAACUUGUGCUAAUACCCCAUAACAUCACGAUAUGGCAUCAUAAUGUGAUCAAAGGAGAAAUCUGAUGAAGGAUGAGCUCGCGUCCGAUUAGCUAGUUGGUGGGGUAAAGGCCUACCAAGGCGACGAUCGGUAGCCGAACUGAGAGGUUGAUCGGCGACAGUGGUACUGAGAAACGGACCAGACUCCUACGGGAGGCAGGAGUGGGGAAUAUUGUGCGAUGGUGGAAACCAUGACACAUCCACGCGACGUGAAGUAUGAAGGUCUUCGGAUUGUAAACUUCUUUGGCCGGGGAAGAAAAGCGUGACAGUACCCGAAGAACAAGCCACGGCUAACUACGUGCCAGCAGCCGCAGUAA
rnacentral:rRNA from 1 species